GACACAGUAGUCCAACGGCAGAGACAGCAGACCUAAAAUCUGUACAGUGAGAGUUCAAAUCUCUUCUGUGUCACCA
rnacentral:tRNA from 1 species